UAUAAUUUUAUAAUAACCAUCUUCAUAUGAUUACAUAGAUGUUUGUUAAAUCAAUACAACCAACUACCAAAUAACUCAAACAGAAGAUGGCAGACAUUUUGAGUAGUUUUUAUUCAUUGUCAUACAACUUAUAUUAGUCACUGAGUAGCCACCAGCCAUCUUAACAUUGUCAAUGAUCAUAAAUGUCUUCGAAAACCAAAUGAACAUGCAUGUAUACUUAUGUAGAUACUUUGGGUAUAUAUGAAAUUCAAAUACAAAUAUAUAAAUUCUUAUUCAACAAAACAGUCAUUAUUACAGUAUGUACCUAGCGUCCCAUUAUAGUACUGUGUAAAAUACUUCAAUAGACUCAAAAACAUUACAUCAAAAAUUUCUCUAAAACUUUAAACUCUGCACCAAUAUGCAUCCACAUCAAAAAUCUUUUAAAAUUAUAAAUAAAUUCAAUUCUUAAGCAAUAAAAACUAAUUCUCUUAAAAUAAUAUGUUAACUUCAAGUUCCGCUGUCAACUUCACUUGGUGAAAAAACUACAUGUAUCAAAUUAUGCCGAGGAUGCAUGCCAUGUUUAGAGACUUUGAUGUCAUAUCCUUAUAUAUUACAAACAAUAAAAUGGCCCAACUCAUUCAGAAAUCCUAAUGUAAUGCACGUUAUCAUUGCCCAUAAAAACAUCAAAAUCUACUGGAAUGCAUACAUUGAUUAAGUGGAACACCUAUAUUGAUCAGUGGAGAUCCCUUAAAACGUAUUUCCCAUUCUUGGAAGAGCUUUUCUACGACACUGUUGAAAUAAUGCCAGUAUCUUUCCAUUAAAAUCCCUGGUAGUUCAAUACUGUAAAUCCAAACAGACAAAUGCUGUUUAUUUACCUUGCAGACUCUGCAAUGCAGAGUAAUAAACAAUUUUAAAGUAUUCUGAAAUAUGUGUGUGAAAAACUUGAAAAAUUCAACAAAAAACUGAAAUGUGAUUAAAAAAAAUUUGAUGCCCUAAACCCUGAGUCAACAAUUCUGAAACAUCUAUGCUAGUUUCACUUUAAGAAUCUGAACUCCGAAAAUGUGAACUACCUUGCCCCUUCCCUUGUCAAUACAUCAAAUAUUUAAUCUUAAUAGACCAAACUUGUAAAAAAAGAGAAUUUAAAAAAUGAAAUUAUUGAUCCAAUCAUUCAGUUGUAUCAAAUGAGGUACAAGUAACAAAUUUGCAAUUCCCCCCCCCCC